AGGGUUAGAGAUCGGGCGCACCUCCGGGUAACCUCGACUAUCUGAUGCCUGUGUAACCUGGCGUCCAGGUGGAGGAUUCAGAAUACAGAUUAUAACCUUCAAAGCAAGAUAAGAGCAAACAUCAUAUCUAUCUGGUCAUUUUAACACUAAACAUGAUGUAUUUUAUACAAAGUUAAUGAGAGAUAUUGCUUAAAACACUUAGAGCAAAUUGCUGUAUUCUAAGGAUUUUCCUGGUUUCUUGUGCAUAAGACAGUAUUGACAGUGUAGAAAAAAACAUUUCACUUUUUAGACCGUUUCUGUUAAUUCUGGAGUGGAACAGAACAAAGAAGAGUUCUCCAUGUGCUUUGACAGUGAGCGGAGGAGAGGGGAGCUCUGUCUUGUGUGAAGAACCAGGGAAAAGCAAACAGUCGACUCCUGUGCUUAAAGUUUGUGAAGGCCAGUUGUUCAGGGUACAUUGUUAAAGUUGAUUGAUUGAUUGAUUGAUUGAUUCCCACAGACUCCAACCCUCCUGCUCACUCCCAGUCCACUGCUGUCCAACAUUCACUUCUGGAGCACGCUCAGUCCGGUCGCUCCCCUCAGCCCGGCCACGCGACGCCAAGGAGCCCACCUGUUCCAGUUUCCAUCAGUCCUCACUCCUCAGUUCCAGAUUCCAGUUCACAGCAUGGAUGGAACCAACACCCCUGGACCCAUUGGACCUAUUGGACCCACCACUCCAGACCUGCACAGAACAUAACGUCAAAACAUACAAACAAACAAGACGUCAGCCUUCAGAAAGAUCCAAACACACUUUAAUAAUGUAGACGACGCCUCAUGUUGAGAAGCUUGUAUAAUAGGAGCAGCUGUGUGGUGUCACUGAGUCAGUGUGGGAACAUUAACAGGAUGGAGAACACAGGUUAUUAAACAUGUGUGUAGAAGCACAGCAGCAGGUUCUGGUCCAGUGUCUCUCACUCUAACAGUGAUGUAAUGAGCGAUGAUAGAUUCUAACAUUUGGUUUCAUCUGUGAUGACUCAACAGUAAUUUAAGCCCAUCCCCUCUGUCUCAGCCAUGAUCAGCCGAGAAAGUAUUAGAUUACUUUCUAACUGACUUUAAAGCCAUAAGUCUGACACACAGGCUAUUAGUAUGCUAAGCUACAGUAGCAUGCUAAGCUACAGUAGCAUGCUAAGCUACAGUAGCAUGCUAAGCUACAGUAGCAUGCUAAGCUACGUGUUUGUGUGGUAAAGAGUCCUUUGAUCUUGAAUUUAUUGAUCUGUUUUACAAACAUUAACCACACAUUGAUCUUUAAUAGAAACAGUUUCAGUUUGAGGCGCUUCAGAUGUAAUCAUUAUUUUUAUAUAUCAGACCAAUGUUUAACAUAAUAAAGCAGACAAAAUGUUUUCA
rnacentral:lncRNA from 1 species